rnacentral:rRNA from 1 species
AGAGCGAACGCUGGCGGCAGGCCUAAUACAUGCAAGUCGAGCGCACCUUCGGGUGAGCGGCGGACGGGUGAGUAACGCGUGGGAACGUGCCCUAAGGUACGGAACAACUGAGGGAAACUUCAGCUAAUACCGUAUGUGCCCUUCGGGGGAAAGAUUUAUCGCCUUAGGAGCGGCCCGCGUUGGAUUAGCUUGUUGGUGGGGUAAAGGCCCACCAAGGCUACGAUCCAUAGCUGGUCUGAGAGGAUGAUCAGCCACACUGGGACUGAGACACGGCCCAGACUCCUACGGGAGGCAGCAGUGGGGAAUAUUGGACAAUGGGCGCAAGCCUGAUCCAGCCAUGCCGCGUGAGUGAUGAAGGCCCUAGGGUUGUAAAGCUCUUUGUGCGGGAAGAUAAUGACGGUACCGCAAGAAUAAGCCCCGGCUAACUUCGUGCCAGCAGCCGC